GCAAACACCUGCUGCUGCUCAGGUAGCAUUUCUGCCUUAGCUAGCUCACCUGGCAGGACUAUCACAGAGUUAGGAUGGGUUUGUGGAACAAUAACCACAGGAGAUAGUGGAUUCUUCUCUCCACAAAGAGCCAUCAAUUUGUGUCAUACUGUGGCUGUCAGGAUAUCAAGGCUCUGACAGAGCUGACAAGAAAUGCCGUUUAUUGGAAGUAAUCCGCGGGAUGGCGGAGGAGUUGGGUUCCUGCUGUGGACUGUGUGAGACAGAUAUGGACUGAGAGGGAACAUCACAAGUCCCUGAGCUGGAGUUUCUCUGUCAGCCAGUGAUCCCCGCGGCUCGCCCAGGGGCCUGUUGGCAAAGAAAACUCCCCGAGCUUUCCACCUGCAAUGUCACGUUGAUUACACAGUAAGAAGAGCAGAGAAGAAGUUACUGAUCGUGUUUGUUCCCUCUCUGUUUCACUUUCUGUCCCUUUUCAUUUAUAUAUACAGUAUAUAAUUGUUCUCUUUUAACAAACAAAACGUAUGGACAGUACAAAUCACACA